AACAAUUUGUUCCGGCUUGCGAAAAAGUUCCGGAUGAUGUAAUAAUCACGUUCCGAUCUCACAUUAAAAUGUUUCUCAUAGAAUGUUGGCGUCGUUGCUAUGACGGUUGCUGUCGCUGGACGAUCCAUUUACCCCUUUGUGACGUCUAUGCUUUGUGACCACCGAAUCCUACUGCGGUAAACGUGCGAAGUUCUUCAGCAACAAUGGGUUUAUGGCUUGCUUGACAGCACGCUUUGCGUUACAGGAAUAGGCCUACCAACCUACGUUCAGUAUUGACUCACUCAACUUGCUAACGUAACGUUACAUCUGGAUCUGGAUGCGGAGGAGCAGAACUACCACACCAGAAGCUCGUGGAUCAGCUCAGAAGGAGAGAGAGAAGAAUGAGUAAUCACAGCCUUGACCAUGAAGCAAGGACCAUGAAGGGAUGGCCAUCGAAAAGAAAUACCUGUAUAGGCAGUUACAGGCUACAGA